CAUCAGAUGACUGAAGAGCAAGUAAUGGUCUCUUAAACCAAGAUAUAGUAAUAUAGUAGUUACUUCUGAUGA
rnacentral:tRNA from 1 species